UCUGGCUUGUUGUUAUCGUGCUUUGCUGCUGCCGGUCCCGACUCUGCCACCGUUCGCGAUUUCUCUCUCUCGAUCUUCCACCGGUCGCGAUUUCUCUCCCCGUUCGGAUCCAUUUUGGUUCCGCCUUCCAGAGUUCCAAGCUCCAGCCACUGAGCCACCUCCCCUUUCAGUCUGCCUGAGCCACCUCCUCUGCCACCGAGUCACCUUCACUGCAAGUCUAUAUCUCUGAUCUCUGCGACUCCUUCAAGGCUUCAAUCCCUGAAUCUUAGGCCAUCAAGGACUGGGUUCGUUGGGUUCGUGACGAAAGCAUAGCCAUCUCUAAAGCAAAACUAGUUCUCCCUCUCUCUUUCUCUAGGUUUUGCUCUUCACUUCCGCUACCGGCUUCUAGCAGUAAGCAGCAGCUAGCUUCUCCGAUGUCGAGUUUCAUGCCAACAGCCAAUCGAUCAGAACACGAAUCCCAACAAGUUUGAGGUCUCUGAACCUCCAAACGACUCCAUUUCGAGCCUCAGCUUCAUCCCCAAAGCCAAUCACCUUGUCGCCACCUCCUGGGUCAACCAGGUUUGAUGUUGGGAG